UGGCGGACGGGUGAGUAACGCGUGGGAAUAUACCUAUCGAUUCGGAACAACUGAGGGAAACUUCAGCUAAUACCGAAUACGUCCUAACGGAGAAAGAUUUAUCGUCGAUAGAUUAGCCCGCGUUCGUUUAGCUAGUUGGUGGGGUAAUGGCCCACCAAGGCGACGAUCGGUAGCUGGUCUGAGAGGAUGAUCAGCCUCACUGGGACUGAGACACGGCCCAGACUCCUACGGGAGGCAGCAGUGGGGAAUAUUGGACAAUGGGCGCAAGCCUGAUCCAGCCAUGCCGCGUGGGUGAUGAAGGCCCUAGGGUUGUAAAGCCCUUUCGGCGGGGAAGAUAAUGACGGUACCCGCAGAAGAAGCCCCGGCUAACUUCGUGCCAGCAGCCGCGGUAAUACG
rnacentral:rRNA from 1 species